UAAAAAAAUUGAAUUGGAGGAGUGCAAAGCAGAAAAAUCGGGAAAGUGAAAAUAUAAAUGGAAUAAUUAUAAAUGCAAAACGCACCUAAAAAUGGAGAACGUGGUAGAAAUUAAAUAGAAACACAACUACAUCCCUUCACGUGGAUCAAUACAUAGAGAUGUUAUAUACGAAACACUAAGAUAUGGCACCGGUAACUAUGGACUUGUUGAGGGGCGAAAGAUCGCUGUACAGUCCAAUCCCUUUCCUAAUAUUCCAUCUAUCUGCACAUAUUGCUAUUUCAAUGAUUUGGUUUGAAGCCUCAUUGACGUCAGUAAAAAAUGGUAUCAUGAU